rnacentral:lncRNA from 1 species
AUUCGAUCCAUAUUGAGCUCACAGUAAGAUUCAAGAUGACGAAUGGAGUCCAACGAGCCUAAGAACGGACCAAAUGGAGUCCAGAUGAUGAAGAUAUGCAUGAAAGAAGGCUUAGAAUAGAUGGCACAGCCUACGAGGCAGUAGAGUUCGAUGGCGGAAUGGCGGAGGUUGUUCAGCGAUGGUGCAGCCGGGCCCAAUGGACUCACGUGUACGCAGGAGUGCACGGCCCAGCCCGUUGGGGGGGCCUAACGUGGGCACACAUGGGUGCCCAGGCCCAGCACCCUAUCGCGGUCCACCAUGGACCGAGGAGUGUUGGGUGGUCCAUGGAGGCUAUGGGGAUUGAUCACGCAGUCCAUGCAUGGUCCAGGGGCAUUUAUGCAUGAUCCGAUGGUUUUGAUCACAUGUGGUCAUGAUCAAAUGGCUGAAACUUAAUCCAGAUGUGAUCAGGUUUGAUCUGAGGCUAUAGUGUGGAUCAGAUGGCUCUGGUGCGAGCUGGUCAUGAUCAGACAGCUAUGGAUGGUUCUAGGAUUGAUUGGGACUCAAUAUUCUUAGUGUAACAAUAUUUUUGAGAUUCUAGAGCCUAUAUAGCUCCGAUUGACGAGUCAUUUAUUGCAUUGGAUAGCUAGUGAUAUCCUGAAGGUGUAAAAAGGCUUCAAGAGAGGUUUCAGAGAGCUUUUAUAAAGAUUUUGAGAUUUUUUGUUGAGAGACUUUUGUAUAAGGGUUGAGUGGUGAGUUUCUCUUGUAUUGGUUGUGUUUUAUUCUCUCAUAGUGAAGUUUGCACGCC